CUCUUUGAUUUUUUACUUCUGGUGACCCACGCAAAAGCAGUCCCGACCUGGUUGUAUUAAUAAUAAAGGCUGUAAGGAUCAGCCUUUUGAACGGUCCAGCCGAGAACUAACCACAGAGCGCGUUUUAGUGGAGUGGUACUUAUUUUUAAAUAAGGUAAAAAACGAUUAUACUUCAGUAAAGCUGUUUAGAAAAAAAAAAACUUGGCCAAAGAUGGAGAACUCUUCCUAAUUUGGUAUCAGAAAAUAGGUCGUCUAUGUAUCUGCACCUUUUUUCCUUAUAAAGUGGCAAAUAAAUGUGUCUGCUAUAUUUAUUGCCACUAAACAAGUGUUUAUGGAACACUCACUGUGUGUUUAGGCAUAGUGGGGAUAAAGCAGGGAAGGUGGCCCAGUUCUUUGCGGGUGAGGAUCAGAGCUAGAGAUUAACUGGAAAGAAAGAAUAAACAAUCAUUUAUUACAGUUGUGAGUGUUUCUAAGAUAAAAUACAGAGGUUUGUGAGAGCAUAGAGAGGCAUACCUUGUUUUAUUGUGCAUUUUAUUGUGCUUUGCAGAUACUGAGUUUACUACAAAUGGAAGGUUUGAGGCAACCUUGAUGGAGCAAGUGUAUGGGUGCCAUGUUUUUCCAACAUCAUGUGCUCACUUUGUGUCUCUGACAUAUUUUGGUAAUUCCCACAAUAUUUCAAACUUUUUCAUUAUUUUUGUAUCUGUUAGAGUGAUCUGUGUGAUCACUGAUCUUUGAUGUCACUACUGUAAUUGUUUUGGGGGACCACAGAUCAUGCUCAUACAUUAUAAAAUGGCGAACUGAAUCUGUUACAGGUAGUUAGGCAUGAGCAAGGCAGGAGAGGGCUCUCCCCUGCCACCCACCCACUAGAAAUGUUGGGUGAUGGUUCAGCAAUUAUCACAUGGCCUCUCUAAAAAUGAAAAUUUGGCAGCGCCAGGGAAAGGCCAUUUCCUGAUGGCCCACACCUGUUAACAUCAAAAUGUUAAUUGAAUGCAGGCCCCAGAGAGAAGCAACUUCCUGGGCAUGCCGGUUAAGAGACAAAAGUGAUGAAGUAUGAUUUUUCUGAUACACUCCACCGGAAAAAGGAAGAAAGCCUCAGAUGGGCAUGUGUAUAAAUCCAUAAAAUCACUGUGUGUGCUCACUUCCCAAGGGUAAAGAGGGCUCUGAGCAUGCAGGGAGCCCAUCCUAAGAUCAUGGUUAAAUGCGGCACUUGACCUUCUCUCUCUCUCUCUCCUUUUCUUUUUCUUUUUUUUUUGAGACGGAGUCUCACUCUGUCGCCCAGGCUGCAGUGCAGUGGCGCGAUUUCAGCUCACUGCAAUCUCCGCCUCCCGGGUUCAAGCAAUUCUCUGCCUCAGCCCCCUCCCCGAGUAGCUGGGAUUACAGGCGCCCACCACCAUACCCGGCUAAUUUUUUUGUAUUUUUAGUAGAGACAGGGUUUCACCAUCUUGGCCAGGCUGGUCUUGAACUCCUGACCUCAUGAUCCACCUGCUUCAGCCUCCCAAAGUUCUGGGAUUAUAGGCGUGAGCCACUGCACCCGGCUGGCCUUCUCUCUUUAACCUUCACAUGCCCACUUGGGUCUCUUCCAUGCGUACCUUCCUUUCUUUCCUGUUCUAAUGCCUGUUUAAAUAAACCUCCAUUCCUACUCUGGAACUUGCUUCAGUCUCUUUUCUGCUUUAUGUCUGUCAGUCAAAUUCUUUCUUCUCUGAGGAGGCCAGGACUGAAGUUGCUAUGGACCUGCAAGGAUAGGCUGCUGGUAACUUGGGGUAACUCAGAUCUCUUCCACUAGUAACAAGUCGAUUGAUAUAUAUUGUGUGUGUCUGGCUGCUGUAUUCACUGGCCACUCUCAUCUCUCACCCUCUCCUAGAGCCUUCCUAUUCCUUGAGACACAACAAUAUCAAAAUUAGGCAAAGUAAUACCCCUACAGUGGCUUCUAAGUGUCCAAGUAAAAGAGGGUUGUAUGUCUCUCACUUUAAAUCAUAACCUAGAAAUGCAUGAUUAAGCCUGUAAGGAAGGCAUGUUGAAAGCUAAGAUAGGCUGAAAGCUAAGCCUCUUGUGUCAAACAGCCAAGUUGUGAAUACAAAGAAAAAAUUCUUAAAGGAAAUUAAAAGUACUACUCCAGUGAACACAUGAAUAAUAAGAAAAACCAAAACAGCCUUAUUACUGACAGGGAGGAAGUUUGAAUGGUCUGGAUAGAAGAUCAAACCAGCUACAACAUUCCCUUAAACCAAAGCCUAAUCCAGAACAAAGCCCUAACUCUCUUCGAUUCUAUGAAGGCUGAGAAAGGUGAGGGAGUUGAAGAAAAGUUUAAAGCUAUCAGUAGUUGGUUCAUGAAAUUUAAGGAAAGAAGCCAUCUCUGUAACAUAAAAGGGCAAGGUGAAGCCACAAGUGCUGAUGUAGAAGCUGCAGCAAGUUAUCCAGAAGAUCUAACGAAGACCAUUGAUGAAGGUGGCCAAAUUAAACAGCGGAUUUUUAAUGUAGAUGCAACAGCCUUCUAGUGGAAGAUGUCAUCCAGGACUUUCAUAGCCAGAGAGAAAUUAAUGCCUGGUUUCAAAGCUUCAAAGGACAGGCUGAUUGUCUUGUGAAGGUCUAAUGCAGCUGGUGACUUGAAGUUGAAACCAAUGCUCAUUUCUCAUUUCAAAAUCCUAGGGCCCUUAAGAAUUAUGUUAAAUCUACUCUGCCUGCACUCCAGAAACAACAGAGCCUGGAUGACAGCACAUCUGUUUAGAGUAUGAUUUACUGAAUAUUUUAAGCCCACUGUUGAAAAUGACAUUCAGAAAAAUAGAUUUCUUUUAAAAUAUUGCUACUUAUUGACAAUGCACCUGGUCACCUAAGAGCUCUGAUGACGUACAAGGAGAUUAAUGUUGUUUUCAUGUCUGCUAACGCAGCAUCCAUUCUACAGCCUAAGAGUCAAGAAGUAAUUUUGAUUUUCAGGUCUUAUUAUUUAAACAAUACAUUUCUUGAGGCUAUAGCUGACAUACAGAGUGAUGUCUCUAAUGGAUCUGGGCAAAAUCAAUUGAAAACCUUUGGGAAAAGAUUCACCAUUCUAGAUGCCAUUGAGAACAUUUGUGCUUCAUGGGAGGAGGUCAAAAUAUCCAAUUAAGAGAAGUUUGGAAGAAGUUUAUUCCAAUCCUCAUGGUUGAGUUUGAGGGCUUCAUGUCUUUAGUGAAAGAAGUGACUGCAGAUGUGAUGGAAACAGCAAGAGAACUGAAUGAGAAGGGGAGCCUGAAGAUGUGACUGAAUUGCUGCAAUCUCCUGAUAAACCUUGAAUGGAUGAGUUGCUUCUUUUUUUUUUGAGAUGGAGUCUUGCUCUGUCACCCAGGCUGGAGUGCAGUGGCACAAUCUUGGCUCAGUGCAACCUCCGCUUGCUGGGUUCAAGCAAUUCUUCUGCCUCAGCCUCCCGAGUAGCUGGGACUACAGGCAUGCGCCACCAUGCCCGGCUAAUUUUUUGUAUUUUUGGUAGAGACAGGGUUUCACCAUGCUGUCCAGGCUGGUCUUGAACUCCUGACCUUGUGACCCGCCUGCCUCGGCCUCCCAAAGUGCUGGGAUUACAGGCGUGAGCCACGGCGCCUGGCCUGCGUUGCUUCUUAUGGAUUAGCAAAGAAAGUGAUUUCUUGAAAUGGAAACUACUCCUAGUGAAGAUGCUGAGUAUUGUUGAAAUGACAAUAAAGGAUUUUGAAUAUUACAUAAACUUUGUUGAUAAAACAGCAGCAGGGUUUAAGAUGAUUGACUCAAAUUUUUAAAGAAGUUCUAUUGUGGUUAAAAUGCUAUCACACAGCAUUGCAAACUGGAUAAAUCUUUCUUGAAAGGAAGAGGCAAACCUCAUUGUUGGCUUAUUUUAAGAAAUUGCCACAGCUGUCCCAGCCUUCGGCAACCACCACCCGAAUCAGUCAACAGCUAUCAACACUGGGGCAAGACCCUCCACCAGCAAAAAGAUUACGAUUCACUGAAGACUCAUAUGAUCAUUUGUAUUUUCUAGCAAUAAAGAAUUUUUAAAUUAAGGUAUGUAUAUUUAAAGAAUAUGCUUUCGCACACUUAAUAGGCCUCAGUAUAGUAUAAACAUAACUUUUAUAUGUACUGGGAAACCAAAGAAUUCCCAACUUACUUUAUUGCAAUAUUUGCUUUAUUGUA
rnacentral:lncRNA from 1 species